UAAAAAUUGUUUUAAAAAGAAUGAGUAUUUAUGAGAUUCAGAUUUCUAAAAACGGCAUCACUGGGUCCAAAGACACUCACUGUAUAUCUAACUUUGAUUUUUCCUUUAAGCUUGAAACCGACGUUUCCAAGCAAGUGCCCGUGGAUGCUUCCAAGAUGGUGAUCUGGUUAUUUCCAGGGCUGGAGUCCUCAGGGACCUCUUUUCAUGUUUGGCCAUUUCUGGUUGGCUCUCAUCCAGCUGCUGCCUGCCUGAAGCACUCCAGGCCAACUGGGAGCAGCAUUCUACAGGAUCGAGGAGAACAGGAACACCCAAUCCUUGGCAAGAAGCAAGAAAUUACCUCCUCGUGAAGGCAGAGGUAAGAGCAUGACUCCUACCAGUCCCUACAGCAAAUCAGCGGCAGAAGUUGGGCACAGAAGGCAAGCUGCAGACUCCAGACUAAGGAACACCAUGACUUCCCUUCUACCAUGGGGGGAACUGGGCCAGGGGAAGCCAGGGAGAAGGGCAAGGGACAUCUCCAAGGUUGGCCUCUCCCGAAUAGAUGAGACUCUCAUUGGUGUCAAGUGACUUUCGCCUUCUGGCAUUGGGAAUCUUGACUAUCUCCCUGUGGUACCUGCCCACAUCCCCACUUGAAGUUCGGAAAACCUAUCUGUUGAUCUCCACUGGCUUCCCUGGUGCCACUCUAUGUCUGCCAUUUUUCUCUUAUCCUCCCUGGUAGUGUUGGUGGGUGUGUUGCCUCAGGUGGCACAAACUCAUCCCAGAGUGUGUCUGACCCAAGGGCAAGGCAUUCAAGGGCUAGACUGUGGCCUCAAAGUCUGUAGCGCUUCCUGCCACCUUCAAUCCUAGACAGUCCUAUGGGCUGAGGAGAACUGUCACCUGCAUCCCCUGUCUCCUCUGCCCUUCUGCUCACCUGGCCCAGGACAAAAGUAGGGGAGGGAGAGAAUGGAGCAUGUGGCCCACCUUCCCCUAGGGGUGAGGGAGAACUUUCUGGACCAAGCACACUGAAAUGGAGACCUGAAGGGUAAGGGGGAAAUGCCCAAGUGUGGGGCAAGAUGGGGACUGUCACCCUUAUUGGCCCCUUCUGCUCCUCACACCUCUUUUCUCCCAGACUUGUGGGACUGCUUCUUGGCUCAGGGCCCUUCAGUCCAGUCUCCUCAAGAGGUCCUCCUCCACUAGCCACACCCUGCCCAGCAUCCAGCUUCCCCAGAGACUUCCCAACUCUGGGAUUACACCGGGACACUUUCCCCCAGGGAUUCAGUUGAAAGACUGAGGACCCAGAGGAGAAGGAUCCAGAGAGGGUGGGAUCCGGGUAUUCCUCAAAGGGAGCACCUGGUGGCAGGAAGGCACGUGGUGCUGCUGCUCCCGGGGCCACGACCUCAGGUGGGGAUCAGAGACCUGGGGCAGAGGGAGCUGACAGAGGGGACGAGAUCCAGAUAAGAAAUGAACAAGCAGGUGAACCACAGGGAUACCUGAGAGUGCUGGGCUGUGGGGAUCUGUAAAUACCCUCUCAUUCCAGCACAGAUGUAACCUACCUGGGACAUGGGACCUGGAGCCACAUCCUGCUGCUGAAUGGGAAAUGGCAAUACGGUCAGGGGCCUGGCUUCAAACUCUGUUUUCACCCUUCCUAGCCAUGGCAUCUUUGGUCAGCCACUGCUGUGUAUCUGACUCUUGUUUCUUUAUUUGUAAAAGUUCGGCUGAGAACCCAGGACAGAGAUUUAUUACAAGGAAUUGGCUGAUGUGAUUGUGGGGGUUGGCAUUCUGAGAGGCAUCCUGGGUUCUUGAUGCUCUGACUCCUUCUAAGGGGGUGGGCCUGAGUGGGGCGGAGCAUGCGUUAUCAUAAUAUAUGCAUAUUUUAUAUGCAGGAGAUCUAUUUCAAGGAACUGGUUUCCGCAACUGUGGAGGUUGGCUAGGCAAGUACAAAAUCUGUAGGUCAUGCAAUCAGGAAGGAAAGAGAAUAGCUCAGGAACAAGUUGGACCCCGGGGCAAUGGUAAGGCCAUUGUCCACAGCCCAUCAGGAAGAGGAGUCUAGCGAGGGGAGGGCAGCCGGAGUGUCCUUCAUCAGGAAGUGUGUCCCUUUCAAGGGCUUGCCUGCUUAGGCCAGGCUUACAGGGGAUACUCUCCCUAAAGUUGACUAAUUAGGGACUUUAAUUACAUCCUUCAAAUCCCUUUGCAGCAGGCCCUAGAUCAGUGUUUGCUUGAAUAACAGGGAGAGGGUGUGUGUUUGCUACAAAGUGACGGCCGCCCUCUCUCCCGUUCUCGGAGAGAGUGUAGCCUGGUUGACCCGUCAAAGGAAAUCACACGGCAAAAAUGAUUUUUAUGAAGAUUAACUAUUAGAUACUCUUUGGGACAGUUUCCCGACAGCUGGGACUCGCUCGGGAAUUUACGCACCAAGGAGCUGAGGCUCUGCUUCUCUUAACAGAGGGGACCUGAAGAGGUUCCGGCCAUAGUUGUCUUUGGUCAGAAGCGAGGGUGUCUCUGUGGGGCUCCUGAGGUGUGUGGAUAUGGCACAUCAUGGGGAGGACCUCAAGAUCAACCAGUGCUCCGGAGAUGCCCUGCCCUGGCAGUUGGGGCCACCGCAGCCAGAGCUGCGGCAGCAGAUGACCGUCCCGGCCCUUGGUGACCGGUGGGGCUGCAGCAGGUAAUUACCGGGCAGAGGCUGGGAACUGACAGGGUAAUUAUUAGCUUCUAAUUGCAGGGCAAACCCAGGCCGAGAUCCUUCUCUCCAAAGCAGAGGGCAUUACUAUUUGCAUAGCAAUUAAUUACUUUGGGAGCUGCGGAAUUUAAUUACCCACUCGUCCGCAGGAGCCAAUAAUUAAAUUACUCUCAGAAACAGGGUAUUUAUUUCCCAGUUAGGCUGAGCAGGUAGCUCCUACCUUGGGGAGUGAGCCUGGGUGGUGACCCCUGAACCAAUGGUUGGCCCCCCCGGCUUGAGCACUCAGAGUGGCAACCUCAGUGCCGCAGGAGGGAGUGUCCGCCCCGUGACGCAGACGGACGCUCGACACACAAAGAUGCAGGCCCUCGUGGAGCACGCUCAGACCCCGGGGGCUGGCUCUCACACACGUGGUCGCCGGUGGAGGCAGGGACGCGCGGGCGCACCCACAGCGUCAUGUAAACCAUGGACGUAGCAAGAAGGGCAAAAAGACCAAACAGGGCACUUUCGCUCUGUCGUUUGGCCACAGCUGGCUUGGCCUAACUUGUGUCAAAAUGUCAAAAUGUAUUUUUAGUACCGUGUACUGUGGCCAACGGACUGAUUCUGAGUCCAUCUAGUCCUUCUAGAAUCUCUUUUCAUCCCCGAUUCCUCUCAGGGCUGUGUCGGGGUUGGGAGGGGCUUAGGGCAGCGUGGGGCUUAGGGAAGGAUUGAAGAACAUCACUUGAUAAUAAUUUAAAAAAUCGGAGAGUUUAAUGUUCCUGCAUCAAAAUGUCCGUGUCAAGAUGUCAGAUACUCUUGAGAGAUGGGGGCCUCUGGAGUCUUCCAAACAGAGUGGCCCUUGGGAGCAGGGCUGUGUUAGGUUCAGUCCUUACUUCUCCCUCUUCAUAGAAGGCAAGGUGGGGCUGGGGUCAUGGAGGUAAGAAGGAGCUGAGGGGAGGGGGAAGCCACCAAGGGUGUGUCUGGAUCAGCUCACCCGCUGACUGGGACAGCCUGUCCCCCAGGCCUGAGAAAGCCUAGAGUUCGGUUGGCAUCAUUCCCAUUUCCCCAUGGCUGUCCCCCAAGUCCACCUGCCCUGUUCUCCACCUCGCUGCCUGGGCAGUCAGUAGCUGCCAGCUAGUUGAGGCAAGGCUUUUGCAGACUGUGGGGUGACGUGUCUGGCUCCGGUGCUGGGGAUCCCAGCGGUAGGACCGCCUGCUGCUGGUGAUGAGACGUCCAGUCCUCUGGGCCAGCGGACCUGGGGUCUUUGUGUGCCACCACCCUCAGAGGAAGGAUGGAAGAGAUCUGGCUCGCCUCCCUCGCUCUUCACUCUGGGAAGGGUCUCAGGCGAAUCAAGCGGGCGCUGGUUAUUCUGGCCUUUUAGAUUCCCCCUCACUUUCCCCCAGGUGACAUUAUUGAGCCCCUGCUCUGUGCAGGUCCAGAGCCAGGCCACCUCCCUGCCCUGCUGCCUUUGGUUGCGUUCCCAACUGACAUUGGCGCCCAGCCCUGACCUCUUGCACCCCUCCUCCCAAAGCCUAGAGCUGAGCCCUGCUCCGACCCCUCCAGCUUGGCCUCAGGUCCUCCCGGGGUGGGAUCCUAUAGGCGCUUCUAAUGCAGUUCUCCCUGACUCUGUUCAGGGCACCCACCACCAAGGAAGAGCCAGGGCCGGCCCUCAGCCCAGGCUGCUGACAGCAGCGAUUCAUCUCCAUCACAGUAAUGGCGUCCCCAUUAAUCGGCCAUAAACUAAUAAAGCAAGCACUUUCCACCCCACACCCCCCCCCCCCAACUUCAUUAAGUCUUUAGUACAUUAAUAUGUCUUACUUAGUGUCAGCUAAGCCUCUUUCUCCGUUUGGGGUGGAGCACGGUGGGAUGGGCGCCUUGCCCGGUGGGCGGGUGACCAUGACCCCUCCCGUGGCCUGGGCAGAGGGUCUGCUGACUCAGGGCCACCCACCCCCCCCCCCCUCCUCCUCCGCCCACCGCCCGCUGAGAGGCCCUAGAGGCCCAGGGAAGCAGGAGCAGGAGGAACAGGAAGAAAUGGGGAGAAGCCGAGGUGCAGGGAGGAAAGAGAAGGAGGAGGAGGGAGGGACUGAGGAGGAAGGGGGCUGGCAGGAAAGGAGGAGACGGGAUGGGGGAGGAGCCGUGCACCUCCAAAUUAAAUUUGUGAUUCAGGCAUCAGAUGGGCCGACAGCCAGAGAUUAAUUCGACUGAUCGAGUUAUAAAGAGCGGGAGGCCUGGGUAAUCAAUCUUGCAGCUGUCAGGCCGCCAGGCAGGAGUAUUAACCUGGCGAGACGGCACAUACCGAGGACUUCUUCAUUUCAUUCACCCCAACCACGUCCCUGACCACCUCUGGCCUGUCUCUCCAAAUAAUAAUAAUUGUGGCUGUUAACGAUGACAGAGACAGGCUCUUCUGCCAGGGCCUUCUCUCCGGGAACUCCCGCCCGCCGCUCAGUGUGACCAGAAGGCAGAGCAAGUAACAGCUGGUGGCCCUCCUUGAGAGGUGGGGAAAUCGAGGCAGGGACUCCAACAAGACCUUCAGACGGGCCAGAGGUGGGGUUGGGAAGGCACUUGGAGAUAAGGACACUGUCCUGGAUCCCUCUUGCUCGCCAGGGAAGGAGCUGUGCCCCAACGAGGGGGCACAAACCCGUGGCACUUUCAGCUCUGGCUGAGGAAGCUGGGCUCCAGCUGUCUCCUCCUCUGGCCUCUGCCCACCCUGAGCACAGCUCUGAGUGCUGAGUGGGCUGCUUGGGGGCCCCACCCCGGCCUUGGGCUGGGGCCCUGUUCUUGCUGGCAAGCCACCUUUCCUGCUCCCUCUCCUCGCCCGACAGUGUCAGUCCGCACCUGGGGUGGGGUGGGGGUCUCCCUGCAGAGACUUGUGGAAAUACCAUCCCUUGGGCAGAGAAGGGGUGUGUGGGGGGGUGGAUACUGCCUUGAGGUUGACGCCUCUCUCAGUUCCGGCUAAUUUUCACAUCCUUCAAACUCUGAUAUCUCUUUCUUCCUUGCUCCGGGGAAAGGAAGGGGGAAGAAGGCACAGUGUGUGUGUGUGUGUGUGUGUGUGUGUGUGUG